rnacentral:rRNA from 1 species
ACGCUCGACACCUACGGAGGCAGCAGUGGGGAAUAUUGCACAAUGGGGGAAACCCUGAUGCAGCGACGCCGCGUGAGUGAAGAAGUAUUUCGGUAUGUAAAGCUCUAUCAGCAGGGAAGAAGAUGACGGUACCUGAGUAAGAACGCCCGGCUAACUACGUGCGAGCAGCCGCGGUAAUCUGGAGCGGGCUGGCAAGGC